GUCUUCGUGGUGUAGUGGUCAGCACGCUCGACGCGCAACCGAGAGGUCCGUGGUUCGAUUCCCGGCGAAGGCC
rnacentral:tRNA from 1 species